GAAGUGCCGCUCCAGAUGGGCUUGUUCUGGAAGCCAGAAGUCCAAAAUCAAGGGUGCAGCAGAGCAAAGCUUCCUCUGAAGGCUCUAGGGGAUCUUUGAAAUCUCAUGGCAUUCCAGUGCUGCUUGACACAAGGGGAAGUGUGAAAGAAGAGAUGCCAGAGUGGAAAGAGACAGAGGCCUUAAAUGAAAGUGGUUAAAAUAUCUUAUCUUCGCAAAUUUUACAAAAACCUAUGACCUUGUGAACUCUUUCCUAGGCCCUUCCCAGAGCUUUGGAAGGACUCUGUGCCUAUGAGAGACCCUUAAGCUCAAUUGGGCUUCAUUAGCAUCACAAUAAAGCUUCCUCUGUUCUGGCCUGAGGCCGAGGGGAAGAAUGUCUCCCUUGCUCUUCUGGACAAGGUCUAUCUGUAGGUGAUACUCAGAAUUGUGAAGGCAUCUUGCUCCCAGUCAGAGGAUGAAGCUAAUUUUAAGAUGAUAGAGCAGCGAUGAAGACUACG
rnacentral:lncRNA from 1 species